rnacentral:misc_RNA from 1 species
GAUGAAGAACGCAGCGAAACGCGAUAGGUAAUGUGAAUUGCAGAAUUCCGUGAAUCAUCGAAUCUUUGAACGCACAUUGCGCCCCCUGGUAUUCCGGGGGGCAUGCCUGUCCGAGCGUCAUUGCUGCCCUCAAGCACGGCUUGUGUGUUGGGCCCCGCCCCCCGGCUCCCGGGGGGCGGGCCCGAAAGGCAGCGGCGGCACCGCGUCCGGUCCUCGAGCGUAUGGGGCUUCGUCACCCGCUCCGUAGGCCCGGCCGGCGCCCGCCGGCGACCCCCCUCAAUCUUUUCAGGUUGACCUCGGAUCAGGUAGGGAUACCCGCUGAACUUAAGCAUAUCAAUAAGCGGAGGA